rnacentral:rRNA from 1 species
UAGUCCACGCCGUAAACGAUGGAUACUAGUUGUUGGGAUUUAUCUCAGUGACUAAGCGAAAGUGAUAAGUAUCCCACCUGGGGAGUACGUUCGCAAGAAUGAAACUCAAAGGAAUUGACGGGGGCCCGCACAAGCGGUGGAGCAUGUGGUUUAAUUCGAUGAUACGCGAGGAACCUUACCAGGGCUUAAAUGUAAGUUGCAUUAGUUAGAGAUAGCUAUUUCUUCGGACUACUUACAAGGUGCUGCAUGGUUGUCGUCAGCUCGUGCCGUGAGGUGUCAGGUUAAGUCCUAUAACGAGCGCAACCCCUGUUGUUAGUUGCCAGCAUGUAAAGAUGGGAACUCUAACAAGACUGCCGGUGCAAACCGUGAGGAAGGUGGGGAUGACGUCAAAUCAUCACGGCCCAUACGUCCUGGGCUACACACGUGCUACAAUGGUAGGUACAGAGAGCAGCCAUGUCGCGAGGCAGAGCGAAUCUAUAAAACCUAUCACAGUUCGGAUC